GAUUAACGCUGGCGGCGUGCAUAACACAUGCAAGUCGAACGGAUAGGCGGACGGGUGAGUAACGCGUGAGUGACAUGCCUUAGAGAAGGGGGUAGCCUUUGGAAACGAAGAAUAAUACCCUAUGCUCUCAGAUGGACUUGCGUCUGUUUAGUUAGUUGGUGGGGUAACGGCCCACUAAGACAGCGAUCAGUAGCCGGAUUGAGGGAGUGUACGGCCACAUUGGGACUGAGACACGGCCCAGACUCUACGAGAGGCAGCAGUGGGGAAUCUUGCAUAAUGGGGGAAACCCUGAUGCAGCGACGCCGCGUGAUUUAGAAGGCCGUCGGGUUGUAAAAAUCUUUUCUAUGGGAAGCAGUACCAUAGGAAUAAGGACCGGCUAAGUACGUGCCAGCAGCCGCGGUAAUAC
rnacentral:rRNA from 1 species